AGUGUGUUUUUCCACAGUUUCAGGGUUCGUUAUGAAGAUGUUUGACAAGUUGCUAAGUUGAGAAGUUGUUUGAGAAAUCGCUACCAAUGGCCGAGUCCAGAACAACACUGGGAUCAGUCAAUAAAGGAUUUGCCAAGUUACAGCAGCCUGCUAUCCAUCACAAGCUUUUGGCCUGAACGCACACACGGUAAGCUGUAGUACUCUUUCUCUAAUUUCAGGUAAACCAGAGCCAGUGCAUUCAUUGCGUGGGAAUCAGCAUGUACACAUGGAUAGCAUUGCUCUCAGCAGAAGAUUACUCACUUCCAUCUUCUCAGUUCAGAGGAACAAGUCAGCGUCAUCUACAAGGUAACCACAACAGUUCUUUCACAGCGGCCUGUCCUGCAGCAUCCCAAUGAACAACUACUGUACGACCCGUAUGGGAAUUUUUUUCAUGAGCAGAUCAACAAUGCCAAGGUUACCUCACGAAGAUCCCGGUGCCUCUAGCGUCGCUACCUUCAUGGGAGGGAAAUGAAAUAGACAACUAUGUUGUGACUGCACCACGCAUCGCGAACUCAGGAAAGUCACAAAUCAGGAGCAGCACAUGGAAGCAACAAAGAGGACAUUUAAACUGUGUGUACUCAGAUACAUAGCUUUGUUUCGGUUACUUAGUUGAAAACUGCACCACUCGCUUAUGAGACAAGCAUAUGUUGCCUUGCGCGUUAGAAAAAUCUAUUAAAAUUGCCUUUGUAGUAAGCUGUGUAUUUUUAUAGGGACACGCUAUAUC